CUUUAGCAUAGCGGGUAGGCAGUAGUUUCAAGCUUUUCGUUACACAUUUUCCCGCUAAAACAGUUUCCACAAAUUGAAAACCAAAAAACUCAAGAUUUUCCGAUCCAACAGAGAGAUUGAAAGUUUCUCAAGGCAGGUAGAGAGAGAACGAGAUGGAGGUAAAGACAGCAGGGGCGUCGUUGGAUUCGGUUAUCUCAGGGUUCAACCGUCGGAUCGCGGAGCUUCAAGAUCUCGUCAUUGCGCGAAACAUGUACCCGGCGAGCAGCGUCACCGAUUUGUCGGCCCUCGACGCGGCCGUGAAGGCCAUGGAGCUUCAGGUUCAGGCCAUCAAGGACCGCUUGCGUGACGAAACCCUAGCCAUCCCUAAAGCUAAAAAACUCAUCGAUGCCGCGCUGAAGCAGCAAAAGAAAUUGCAGGACAUGUCAGUUUAUGUGCCCUCGCAUGUUCCCGAAAGAAUGUCGAUGUUGAAUUUGGAUACUAAUAAGUGUUUGUUUCCAGAAGGAUCUCAACAAAAUACCGGUUUUGGGUCCUUCAAGCUUGAGGAAGAGCCUGCUGCACUACCUAAGGAGAAAAAGGGACGUUCCCCUCCACCAUUGUGGUUUAUAACUGCUGAAGAGCUGGAUUCUUUGUCAGGAUACAUGAGGGGAAGGCUUACAGUAGAGAAGAUCAAUGCAGCUAUUAAUGACAUGGCGACGUAUGCAGAAGCAAACGCUCAGCUGAUAUUUGCCCCAAAGAAGAAGGUAGCAGGAGAUCUUUGGGAAAAGGCGCUGGUAAGUGAACUUAACCAGGUUAUAUGUUUUAAAUUGUCUAGGGGGUUUUGUUGGUGGCCAAUAGCAUGGGUUACAAAGUGGGAGGUAGCUCUCUCUCAUCAUAUAAGCCUCUUCAUCCUUGGUGAAGGAAAUGAGGGACAUUGCAAUGACAGAAGGAAUAAAGGGAAAACACUUCUUUCUCGAAACUGACAUGAAAGGACCAACCUUGAAGCCUGACAACACUGGAAAAGCAAUACUAACUGUCCUUCGUCACCUUGGUCGUGUAAGCGAGACACGUAUCGGGCCUCAUCGAGUGAUCAUUCUAUUAAAGCGUCCUUGACAGGGCCUGCAUCAUGGUUUGGUUCUCAAUCAUUUUGGUUUUUGAUUAAAAAAAAUUCAAGUUCUUGCUUUGCAUUGUGUGUAAAUGGCAAGAAGAUUUGGCUCAUGUUGUAGCUUUUGAGGCUAUACUGUCGACUGUAUCUCUUAAACUUGUUGUAAAUGAUUUAAUGACACAAAUACUCGACUCACUUAACCUG